rnacentral:misc_RNA from 1 species
GAUGAAGAACGCAGCGAAGUGCGAUAAGUAAUGUGAAUUGCAGAAUUCCGUGAAUCAUCGAAUUUUUGAACGCAAAUUGCACUCUCUGGUAUUCCGGAGAGUAUGCCUGUUUGAGGGUCAGUCAAAUAAAAAUCGAUGUCGUUGUCACCAUAUAGCGCGUCGGAAUUGAGUCGUCUUACCUUCGGUUAAGUGACUUUAAAUUUUUACGCGAAUGCGAAACGUAUUUAAUGUUUAUGUACGUUUGCGAUAUUCCAAUUUAUUAGGUGCGAUCAUUCCUAUGAUUCGUGUCUAUAAUUUUUCAUUUCUUGACCUCAAAUCAGGUAAGAGUACCCGCUGAACUUAAGCAUAUCAAUAAGCGGAGGA